rnacentral:rRNA from 1 species
GAUGAACGCUAGCGGCAGGCCUAAUACAUGCAAGUCGGACGGGAUUCAGGAGCUUGCUUCUGAUGAGAGUGGCGCACGGGUGCGUAACACGUAUGUAACCUACCUUUAUCAGGGGGAUAGCCUCUCGAAAGAGAGAUUAAGCCCGCAUAAAAUCACAGCACAGCAUUGUGUAAUGAUCAAAUAUUUAUAGGAUAAAGAUGGGCAUGCGGAACAUUAGCUAGAUGGCGGGGUAACGGCCCACCAUGGCGACGAUGUUUAGGGGAUCUGAGAGGAUGGCCCCCAACAAGGUAAAAGAGACAGGGACCGGACGCUUACGGGAGGCAGGAGAAGGGAAUAUUGUAAAGGGGGAGGAGGCCUGACCCAGCCAUGCCGGGUGAAGGAAGCCGGCCUUCGGGUUUGUAACUUGUUUUUAUAGGGAAAAAACCCAAGAUACGGGUAUCGGGCUGAAUGUAGUGAAAAAAAAAGGAGCGGCUAACGCCGUG